rnacentral:lncRNA from 1 species
AUGAGUUUAUGGUAUGUAUUUUUGAGAUGAAAAUUACAUGUUUGAGUUUUUGCUUUUCAAUUUGGUGCCCUUUUGCUUAAUUACAUUCACAUGUGAUAAUAUUCACAAAUGUGGGUGUGUGGAGAGGAAAAGCCUGAGUAACACCUGGGGUGUUACAAGUUGUAUCUAGGUUUCGUCCUAUAGUCAACAUUUCCUCUGAUACCACUUCUGUCACACCCGGAUUUAAGGGGUAAAGCCAGGUGCGUCUCAUAUGUGCGCCAAAGAAGAACAACACCUAUAAUGACCAAGUGUAUAGAGAUAAAUGUCACAAAUAUUAUUAUUACAUAGCGGAAGAGUCUUACAAAAAUAAGUGAUAACAGUAAAGUGAACUAAUAAUUAUUCCUUGGCACCAUAAGCUGACUACGAGACGCCACCUAGAUAAGCUCGUACUCCUCGUUGUGGACCUCCUCCUGGGCUACCUACUCUUCACCUGUGGGGGGGGGGGGUUAUAUAUCACAAGGGUGAGCUCACAAAAGAUCAUAGCUCAACAAGUAGUGGGGAAUAAUGUGCAUGAACUCACCAAAGGUGGGAGUUCAUGUAAAGUGUAAGGCUGAUCAACAAAUAAUGGUUAAAGCUGAGCAAUUACUAAAUGUAAGUAUAUACCAAACUAGAGUAAUAAUAGAUAAAAAUUAAUAAUAAAACCACAAUGCGAUGCAAAUGACUAGUUAAAUUUAAUUCCACAAGUUACUGAUGUGAGGGUCCGAGCCGCUCAUGACCGUGAGCACGGCUGAUAUACUAAUUUACACUCUGCAGAGGUUGCACAUCUUUACCGACAAGUCAUGUUACCCAUCUGCCAUGGGGUCAUAAAUCCCAUACACCUCUACCAAGGAAGCGAGCCAGGGUAACACUACGAGGCCUUUACAAAGUUCCACUAGCUUCAGAAAACCCGCUAUAGUUUCCAAGGAGCGAGGAAUCCCUCGUCUGAAAAGCCAUCGCAGCAAAAUCAACCCGAGAACCUCCCUAUACCGACCACUCCCCUACUUCCCUUGCCCCUUUCGGGUAAGGUAGUCCUCCACUAGUUUUCCUAAUUAGUCUGCCAAGGGCGUCCCAUACCACCCUUGUGGUAGCACUGUUUUCCUAGGGUGGUCGCUCCAUGUUCCAAUUAACAUAAUGAUCUUGUCAUGAACAGUAAAAACACAUUGAUAUUAAAAGCAUGAUCAUGAAUAAUGUGUAUCUUAACACCCAAAACCACAUAAAGCAAUAGCAGGUACUACCCAAAAGUUUUGUGGUAAACAAGGUAUAAAGAUAUCUAAACUGGGUGACCUAUUGGGUCCCAUCAAAAUAACCUAUGUAGAUCAUAAUGAUUAACAUGAACAUUAUUGGGUAAAUAGUAGUGGUCAAGGGCACAACUUGACUUCAACAAGCUGUUGCUCAGUAUUUUCCACCUGCUGAGCCUCAGUUGCAUGCCCAUCAAAUCGCAACAAUACAAACAAACAUGGUACAAGAGAAAUUAACAUCACACCAAUCAUGAUAACAUACUGCAUAAUAAUAUUCUACGCAUCGUAACGAAAUUGUAGGUUCAAGAAUCACUAAAUUCAGAGUUACGGUUAAAGAGUUAUGAUUUUCCGAAGUUUUACGUGUUUGGUAUGGAAUAAACUAUGUGGAUAAUUUUAAUCUAUCUUUCAUGAUAAAACAGAGUUACCAAGUGAUAAAUAAUAUUAAUACAUAAUUAAUGAACUAGAAUGGAUUAAUAAAGAGUUAACUUGAAUUACUUAUGAAUUUUACAAGAUUCUAUAAUUACUUCUACAUUGGAAAUCAUUUCCUAUACCCUUUUAUUCGAUUUUAUUUAUUAUCUGGAUUGCGCGCAUUAUUCUGGAGUUCUAUAGGGGUUUCUCUGCAAAAUUCAGGACCUCGGCGUAAUGAUUUUAUAAAAGACCAGGACUGCAGGUUGAUAACUAAAAACAUCAAGGGCACUUUUACAAAAUGGCACGGUCGAAGGGGUAUCAACGAAUCCUGGCCGUCCGAUCUCGACCGAUCGGCCCAGAUUAGAAUCAUGUGAUACAACACUUCGCAAUCCGUCCUGGCCGCUCGAUCCGGUUUUAAAGUUUGAGAGACGACCACGCCCCGACUUAAUCCAAAUCACUCAUCACCGAACCGACAUCCCAGAUCAAAUCUUGCGAAGUGGUACGUGAUGGUUAAUCUUAGUCGCCCACAGCUGAACAGACGGCUAGGAGACCUUCUCCUUCGUCGGUCAGCCCGCGACGGCGCAACAGUGGAUCACAGCGGAGCCCUCAUGCCGGCGAACCCAAUUCCCCAUUUCCUCACGGUAAUCACUCAAUCCUAAUAGUGCUAUCUCGUGCGGCAGUCCCCAUGAACGGUCAUGAGGGUCAUCACUAGGGGAGAUCCAGGUGAACGUCGCCCAAGGAGUCAGACGGAUUCACCGUACGUUUCGACCGUGGUUGCCCACCCUAAACAACCCCGGCGACCAACUAACCAUAUGGCGAUUCCCAGCGUGUAGGUAAUAGUGCAGAAAGGGCGCUCACCCGAGUCCGUGAUGAUGAUGGCGCAAUACACGAAGAGGUGCGGAGACGGUGCUCCGACAAGAAAUUGCCGCGGCUGGAUCGGCAAUCCAGCCCUAGAAUUCCCACGGGUAGUCACACGAUGUCUCUGGGGAAGCCCAGACCACGGCCAAUAGGUUUCUACGGCGGUGUACGGGGAAGUCAAUGGCGGCGGCCUCCAGCUGGGGUGAGGCUCUUGGUUCUUCGUAGGUUAGAGGAUUCGGAUGGUUAGGGUUACUAGAGGAGAGGUGGCGCAUGACAGCUUUAUGGCAAGCGGAGUAUGAACUCGCCAGCAACGACGCCGACGGAAAAGGGGGAAAGUUCGCUGCAGAUCUCGCGUGGUUUGUUGCCGCGACAGCGCAAAGGGAUGACAGGUG